rnacentral:rRNA from 1 species
CCUACGGGGAGCAGCAGUGAGGAAUAUUGGUCAAUGGCCGAGAGGCUGAACCAGCCAAGUCGCGUGAGGGAAGACGGCCCUACGGGUUGUAAACCUCUUUUGUCGGGGAGCAAAGCGAACCACGUGUGGUUCAUUGAGAGUACCCGAAGAAAAAGCAUCGGCUAACUCCGUGCCAGCAGCCGCGGUAAUACGGAGGAUGCGAGCGUUAUCCGGAUUUAUUGGGUGUAAAGGGAGCGCAGGCGGCGCGUUAAGCCUGGUGUGAAAGCCCGCGGCCCAACCGCGGGACUGCAUUGGGAACUGGCGCGCUGGAGUGCCGGAGGGGUAGGCGGAAUUCCUAGUGUAGCGGUGAAAUGCGUAGAUAUUAGGAGGAACACCAGUGGCGAAGGCGGCCUACUGGACGGUGACUGACGCUGAGGCUCGAAAGCGUGGGGAGCAAACAGGAUUAGAUACCCGAGUAGUC